rnacentral:lncRNA from 1 species
AACCUCAAUUCUUGCCUUCUCAUAAGAAAGAAUUGGACUGAGGGGCAUAAGACAGAAGGAGAGACCAACGCAGAAGUGAAAGUUUAUUAAAAACCUUUAAGACAGGAAUGACAGGAAGUACAGUAUGCAUGGAAGAGGGCCAAGCAGCUACCUGAAAGAUCAAUGCGCAUGCCUGAGCCCACUCACCACCCACCUCCUGAGAUCUUAUCCUGAAGCUGCCGAUCACCAGUAUCACGUGUUUCUAUCUAUUAAGAGACAGCCUUUCCCUGGCACCAGCUGUGACCAAUUAUUAUUUUAGUGACACAGUUAACGACUGCCUGCCCAUCACCUUAUGGACAUCUGACAAUUCCUGGUGUGUUUGUGUUGGAAAGCCCUCUCCUGCCCGGUUCAUGCCUGAUGAGCUACCUACAAUAACAUCUACAGCUAAAGCUGGAACAAUUUGAGCAACAACAUAAAGAAAUUAGUAUUAUAGCUCAGAGUAUAAAAUAUAUAUCAAGCACCUACAAAUAGUAUAUUGCUAAAUAAAUGAGAAAAAUUGAUAUCCUAUGCAAAAUAAUUUUAAGUCAUUUAUGUAGAUACUCUGCCCCCAGGGAAAUGGAGCAUAAUUCCCUAUCUCUUAAGUGUGAGCUGCCUAGAAUGACGCCUUUAGUAAACUGACAGUGACAAAACCGGUCACAGACUUCCUCAGCCAGGCAAUAGAGGUUCACAGCAGGGGUAAGUCAUGUUAGUAUUGAUAUUGAUAUGCUAUGAAAAGAAUGACACUUAAUCCUUGUGGUCUUCCUCCCCAAACCCUAAAUCCUCAGUCUUAUAAUCAUGGGGAAAAUGUUAAACAAAUUCAUAUUACAGAUAUUGUAAAAAUACUGUUAACAUCAUCCAAAACAAAGUAUUGAAAAAAUC